rnacentral:tRNA from 1 species
UCCCUCAUAGCUCAGUUGGUAGAGAAUCUGCCUGCAAUGCAGGAGACCUGGGAUUGAUCCCUGUGUUGGGA